GUGCUUGCUUCGGCAGCACACCUACUAAAAUUGGGACAAUACAGAGAAGAUUAGCAUGGCCCCUGCACAAGGAUGACAUGCAAAUUCACAAAGUGUUCCGUAUUUAA